rnacentral:tRNA from 1 species
GCAGGCGUAGCUCAGUUGGUUAGAGCGCUAGGUUGUGGUUCUAGAGGUCGCGGGUUCGAUCCCCGUCGCUUGCCCCA